GACGUAGGAGGCGAGCGUUGUCCGGAUUUACUGGGCGUAAAGGGCGAGCAGGCGGCGGGGUGAGUUGGCCGUGAAAGCCCCCGGCUUAACUGGGGAGGGUCGGUCAAUACUGCCUCGCUCGAGGCCGGUAGGGGGGGACGGAAUUCCCGGUGUAGUGGUGAAAUGCGUAGAUAUCGGGAGGAACACCGAUGGCGAAAGCGGUCCCCUGGGCCGGUCCUGACGCUGAGGCGCGAAAGCGCGGGGAGCGAAC
rnacentral:rRNA from 1 species